rnacentral:lncRNA from 1 species
UGGUGCCAAAACCAUGCAAGGACAUGACAAGAAAAUUAAAGUCCACUCAGGAGCCUAGACACAAAAAUCCCUUAACAAAACAUCAAAUCAAUUCCAGCAAUAUAUAAAGAGAACACAUAUGACCUUGUGGAGCGUACCCGGGAAUGCAAGAUGCAAGGAAAGCAUUCAACAAAAUUCAGCACUCAUUCACGACAAAGGCUCUCAGUAAACCAGGAGGAGAAGAUUC